UCCUUCAAUGGAUCAACCCCUCACCACUACACACAUUUUUUGUGCUUAAAAAUGUGUGUGGUGAGGGGUUGAUCCAUUGAAGGAUGCUUGCAUC
rnacentral:pre_miRNA from 1 species